AGAUUUUAGACUUUUGGUCUCUCUCUCUUCAAGCCUUCUCAGACAAACUUCACCGCCUCUGUCUUUCUCCCCGUUCGUGCGACGCUUAUGCUCCUACCUCAAUUUCAUUUUCAUGUUUUCCCUGCAUCUUCAUCUUCAUUCAUUCUCCGUGAACGAAGUCCCACCCAAAAUCACUCAGCCUCAUCAACGUCCCUGCUCUAGUUCUUGGUGCCUCCCUUAGUCAACCGAGCAAUUCCUUCUUCGUCCGAGUUCUUCGACGCCAGCUCUCGGUCAACUCGGCGAUUACCUCAGCAAGUGUUGACUGCCAAGCCCACCGAAUCUGCUUGCUUUCAUCUCCUGUGAAGACCUUCGGUUUUGUUGAUUGAAGCAGCGUCCUUCGAAGAAGCCAGCUGCCUUCUUCUUCUUUCGGUUUUGAUGAGCUGUCCAGCAGUCCGAAGUUCCCUGCCCCUUUCGUUGCCACCAAAGAUCAGCGAAGCUCCUCAAGCUCACUUCAUCUCACCGAACCGAAGCGGCCACGUCUCCAGCAAAUUUCGUGAGCCCAUCUUCGUGUAAGCCGCAGCCCAUCUUCACAGCGUCUUCGUCUUGUCCUCGUGAAGCCAGCGACAAAACCCUGCCGCUCCAUGGUCGUUUGUCUUCUACCACUGUUUCAGCAUCUCCAUCUCGCCAACUGAAGCUGCCAGCGAAGCCCGCACGUGGAUCAGCAGCAACGCAUGAAGCCCAGCUUCAUUUCUUUAGCCCGUAUCAGCCCAUCGUGUCUUCAAGUCCAAGCCCACGUGAAUUCUGCCGCAAGCCAACAAAUUCAGCCCAUUUGAAGCUUAGUCCAGCAAGGCCCAGCAGCUCCUUUAAGCCCAAGUCCAGCAGCCCAUCUUGAAGUCAGCUCAGUCCAGUGAAGCCCGGCCCGUUUCAGCAACAAAUCUUAGUUGGGCUGAGAUUUGUUGGGCCAAGUUUAGGCCCGGCCCAAGUUUGUCGACACCGCCGAAAAUUUCGAUUUCAACCGCCGUCGCGUCGUUGUCGCGGUGAACCAGUUUCCGCAAUUAACCGGUGAGUUUAUACUCUAAACUCUGCUUAGUAGGCUAAUAACGUUUAAGGGGUGUUUUUAGAUUUAUUUUAUUUGGAAUUAGGUGGUUAAUUAGAUUAAAUUAGAAAUUGAAUUAUUUAAUUGAGCAUGUUAGAUAGUUAGCAUGGUUUAGCUAUGGCCUAAAUAAAUUGUACUAUUUAUCUAGAAGGGUUCAGGAAUUUCUCCGAGUCCAUAUGGUCAUUAAUUUAAUGAUUUUGGCCUAGGUUAUUAUUUGUAGAAUUUAAAUUGAUUUAUUUAAUUAAUUUCAGUAAUUAUUUAAUUAUUAAUUAUUUUCCGGAAAUUGUGCCGGGAUAGCCGGUGACCGGAAUUUCGUGCUGAUUGCAAUGGUGUGGUUAAUUUUUGCAAUUGAGUGUUAAAUUAUGCAAAUUGAGUACUGAUUUGAUUUUUGGUAUUUAAUUCCAAAAAAUUGUGAAUUUCCAAUAUUUAUUUAGAAAAUCUCAGGUGUCAAGUUUUGACACCGAAAAUGGUUUUUAGUACUAUAUGAAAUAGUGUGAUUUCAAAAAUGAUGAAUAUCAAUUUUUCUGGAUCAAGUUGACCAUGUACCCACACACGAGUAAUUUCAUGUGAAUUUCUAAUACGAAGAAAAAUGCUAGGCUCACCAUUUUAAUUGAAGCAUUUGAGUUCAAUGCACGGUGCCCUGGGCCAUAAUUGAGUGAUCGUGUGAUGGUUGAGAGAAAUCGUCCCGGGCUGUUGAGUUGGACGUUAUCACUAUUUGGGAUACCCCUGGACAACGGGAAGCCGGUUGCAAUUGAUUCUGGACUCUAUGCUCCUUCAAGAAAGCCGUCUGAUAAAGAGACGUGUUGUGCUCAAUGGGGUGAGACGAAGCCUGGCAAUGCCAGAAGACCACCGAAUUGAGAGUAUGCCGUGCUAUAUGCCGAGAUCAAAACUAGGAAUGCAUGAUUAAUUGAGUGUGAGGUUUCAGUUAUUGGAGCUUAUUUGUUGCUCAUGCUCUCGUGUUGUCUAUGAGAUAAAUUGUACUGACCUGCAGGGUGGAUCUGAGACGAGGUAAGUCUCCUUGAUUGUGUGAUUGUGUGAUUAUGACAUUUCUUGGCAUAUUUCCCUCCUAAUUAGGGUUUAGAGCUUAGACUCGCUGAGAUAAUAUCUCACCCUGUUGUGGGACAACAUUUUCAGGGUCGUCGAGUGGAGGACCUGGAGCUGAGAGGAGGUGAUCGGAAGCGUAGGUCAGUUAGGACCGCUUCUUUUUGGAAGGCUAGUCUUUUGUAGUCUUUUGGCCAUAGACCUUUAUACAUGACUCAGUGUAUAUAUAAAAGCAUGUUUGUUUGUGAAUCUAUUGUCCUGCUUUUCUAUCCCGAGAUGAUUAUUGUCAGGGGAUUUCUUUUCGCUUCCGCAUGUGCAAUAAAAUGGAAAGGGUCGGCGACUCGUCCUAGGAAGUCGCAAAUUAUUAUCGACCAGAUAGGGAUGGGCACACGCUCGGGGUUCGGGGCGUGACACUUGGGCGUAUUUUCUUUCUAAUAGGGUUUUAG
rnacentral:lncRNA from 1 species